rnacentral:rRNA from 1 species
AUUGAACGCUGGCGGCAGGCCUAACACAUGCAAGUCGAGCGCGAGGCGGACGGGUGAGUAAAGUGUCGGAAACUGCGCGAUGGAGGGGGAUAACUCUUGGAAACGCGAGCUCAAAUCCCAUAUCCUCUGAUGUGUGCAGAUGGGAUUAGCUAGUAGGUGGGGUAAUGGCUCACCUAGGCGACGAUCCCUAGCUGGUCUGAGAGGAUGACCAGCCACACUGGAACUGAGACACGGUCCAGACUCCUACGGGAGGCAGCAGUGGGGAAUAUUGCACAAUGGGCGCAAGCCUGAUGCAGCCAUGCCGCGUGUAUGAAGAAGGCCUUCGGGUUGUAAAGCACUUUCAGCGGGGAGGCGUUACCCGCAGAAGAAGCACCGGCUAACUCCGUGCCAGCAGCCGCGGUAAUUC